rnacentral:rRNA from 1 species
GUGGGGAAUAUUGGACAAUGGGCGCAAGCCUGAUCCAGCCAUGCCGCGUGAGUGAUGAAGGCCUUAGGGUUGUAAAGCUCUUUUAGCAGGGACGAUAAUGACGGUACCUGCAGAAAAAGCCCCGGCCAACUUCGUGCCAGCAGCCGCGGUAAUACGAAGGGGGCUAACGUUGCUCGGAAUCACUGGGCGUAAAGCGCACGUAGGUGGGUCGUUAAGUCGGGGGUGAAAUCCCAGAGCUCAACUCUGGAACUGCCUUCGAUACUGGCGACCUUCGAGUUCGGGAGAGGUGAGUGGAACUGCGAGUGUAGAGGUGAAAUUCGUAGAUAUUCGCAAGAACACCAGUGGCGAAGGCGGCUCACUGGCCCGAUACUGACACUGAGGUGCGAAAGCGUGGGGAGCAAACAGGAUUAGAAACCCUUGUAGUCC